AUCACAACUUAUUGAACAGUUGAACUCGUCUAGCCUUCCUUACAGUAAAAAAUGGCCAAAUCGCUUCUGAUGAUUUUGAUGGUGUCUUUGGUGCUGCUGGCAAUUGUCAACGAGUUCGGUGGGCUCGUGAAUGGACAGUGCGAUUCAUCCCAAGGCAACUGUUGUCGUUGGCGUUGCGAUGGCGGAGGCUGUGGUUGCAGACCUUUCUUUUCUCUUAACUGCGGUGCACCAGACAGCUGUGGUGCAUAAUAACCCUAACCGAAAUAGUAGUUCAUCACUUGUUUUACAUGCAACCGAACUGGACCGAAUUUGUUAUCCGACCAAGAUUAUCCGAAACAAUUACAGAAUUUGAAUAACGGGGAAAAAAAUAAGAAAAUCCAAGUCUUUCCUAUCUAAAUCUUCUGGUUUCAAUUAACCCGAGCAAUAUUUGUAUAAUUGUGGAUGUAUUCAAAUAAUCCGCUUGAAUAUAUAUUCAACCUUCCAACUCUGAUAAUACACAUCAUACAAAUGCUCAGCA